rnacentral:rRNA from 1 species
UACGUAGGGUGCAAGCGUUAAUCCGGAAUUACUGGGCGUAAAGCGUGCGCAGGCGGUUUUGUAAGUUUGUCGUGAAAGCCCCGGGCUCGAACCUGGGAAUUGCGAUGAAGACUGCAAGGCUUGAAUCUGGCAGAGGGGGGUAGAAUUCCACGUGUAGCAGGUGAAAUGCGUAGAGAUGUGGAGGAACACCGAUGGCGAAGGCAGCCCCUGGGUCAAGAUUG